rnacentral:lncRNA from 1 species
GGUAGCCAUGGAGUCUGCUCAAGGGGAAUAUGCCAAUGUGAAGAAGGUUGGGUAGGACCAACAUGUGAGGAACGUUCCUGUCACUCUCACUGUGCUGAGCAUGGUCAGUGCAGAGACGGAAAAUGUGAGUGUAGCCCUGGAUGGGAGGGCGACCACUGCACAAUUGCUCACUACUUAGAUGCUGUUCGAGAUGGCUGUCCAGGGCUCUGCUUUGGAAAUGGACGAUGUACCCUGGAUCAAAAUGGUUGGCACUGUGUGUGUCAGGUUGGUUGGAGUGGAACAGGCUGCAACAUUGUCAUGGAAAUGCUUUGUGGCGACAACUUGGACAAUGAUGGAGAUGGUUUGACGGACUGUGUGGACCCCGAUUGUUGUCAACAAAGCAACUGUUAUGUAAGCCCACUCUGUCAGGGCUCACCAGACCCUC